rnacentral:rRNA from 1 species
UACGUAGGUGGGAAGCGUUGUCCGGAAUUAUUGGGCGUAAAGCGCGCGCAGGCGGUUAUGUUAGUCUGAUGUUAAAGCCCGGGGCUCAACCUCGGUUCGCAUUGGAAACUGCGUAACUUGAGUGCAGAGGAGGAAAGUGGUAUUCCUCGUGUAGCGGUGAAAUGCGUAGAUAUGUGGAGGAACAACAGUGGCGAAGGCGACUUUCUGGUCUGUAACUGACGCUGAGGCGCGAAAGCGUGGGGAGCAAACAGG